rnacentral:rRNA from 1 species
AUAGGUUUGGUCCCAGCCUUCCUGUUAACUUUCAAUAGACUUAUACAUGCAAGCAUCCACGCCCCGGUGAGUAACGCCCUUCGAAUCACACAGGACUAAAAGGAGCAGGUAUCAAGCACACACUCUUGUAGCUCACAACGCCUUGCUUAACCACACCCCCACGGGAGACAGCAGUAACAAAAAUUAAGCCAUAAACGAAAGUUUGACUAAGCCAUAUUGACCAGGGUUGGUAAAUCUCGUGCCAGCCACCGCGGUCAUACGAUUGACCCAAGCUAACAGGAGUACGGCGUAAAGCGUGUUAAAGCAUCAUACUAAAUAGAGUUAAAUUUUAAUUAAACUGUAAAAAGCCAUAAUUAUAACAAAAAUAAAUGACGAAAGUAACCCUACAAUAGCUGAUACACUAUAGCUAAGACCCAAACUGGGAUUAGAUACCCCACUAUGCUUAGCCCUAAACACAAAUAAUUAU